UACGUAGGGUGCGAGCGUUAAUCGGAAUUACUGGGCGUAAAGCGUGCGCAGGCGGUUAUGUAAGACAGGUGUGAAAUCCCCGGGCUUAACCUGGGAACUGCAUUUGUGACUGCAUAGCUAGAGUACGGUAGAGGGGGGAUGGGAAUUCCGCGUGUAGCAGUGAAAUGCGUAGAUAUGCGGAGGGAACACCGAUGGCGAAGGCAAUCCCCUGGACCUGUACUGACGCUCAUGCACGAAAGCGUGGGGAGCAACAGG
rnacentral:rRNA from 1 species